GAUGAACGCUGGCGGCGUGCUUAACACAUGCAAGUCGAACGGAAAGGCUCCUGCUUGCAGGGGUACUCGAGUGGCGAACGGGUGAGUAACACGUGGGUGAUCUGCCCUGCACUUCGGGAUAAGCCUGGGAAACUGGGUCUAAUACCGGAUAGGACGAUGGUUUGGAUGCCAUUGUGGAAAGUUUUUCGGUGUGGGAUGAGCUCGCGGCCUAUCAGCUUGUUGGUGGGGUAAUGGCCUACCAAGGCGUCGACGGGUAGCCGGCCUGAGAGGGUGUACGGCCACAUUGGGACUGAGAUACGGCACAGACUCCUACGGGAGGCAGCAGUGGGGAAUAUUGCACAAUGGGCGCAAGCCUGAUGCAGCGACGCCGCGUGGGGGAUGACGGCCUUCGGGUUGUAAACUCCUUUCGCUAGGGACGAAGCGCAAGUGACGGUACCUGGAGAAGAAGCACCGGCUAACUACGUG
rnacentral:rRNA from 1 species